CCUACGGGCGGCAGCAGUGAGGAAUAUUGGUCAAUGGGCGCGAGCCUGAACCAGCCAAGUAGCGUGAAGGAUGACUGCCCUACGGGUUGUAAACUUCUUUUAUAAAGGAAUAAAGUGAGGCACGUGUGCCUUUAUGUAUGGACUUUAUGAAUAAGGAUCGGCUAACUCCGUGCCAGCAGCCGCGGUAAUACGGAGGAUUCGAGCGUUAUUCGGAUUGAUUUGGUUUAAAGGGAGCGUAGAUGGGUUGUUAAGUUAGUUGUGAAAGUUUGCGGCUCAACCGUAAAAUUGCAAUUGAUACUGGCAGUCUUGAGUACAGUGGAGGUAGGCGGAAUUCGUGGUGUAGCGGUGAAAUGCUUAGAUAUCACGAAGAACUCCGAUGGCGAAGGCAGCUUACUAAACUGCCACUGACAUUGAUGCUCGAAAGUGUGGGUAUCAAACAGGAUUAGAUACCCCAGUAGU
rnacentral:rRNA from 1 species